CACUAGAAAAUAUAUCUUCUAGCAGUUUCUGCCCUAUGGGUUCUAAAUGGCCGCAGUAUCUUGACUGUGCUAAGGUAGCAUAAUCAUUAGCUUUUUAAUUGUAAGCCAGUAUAAAUGAAUUGACGAGGAGACUACUGUCUCUUAUCUAACUAUAAAUUUUAUAUAAAAGUAAAAAAGCUUUUAAAAUCUAAAGGGACGACAAGACCCUAGAACCUUUCUUUUAACUCUAUAUUAUUGAAAACCCUAAAUGGUUAUUUAGAAUUACUGGGGCGGUAAAAUUUAUAACAAAUUAAACACACAUGUAAUGAACAAAUUCUAAAACCCUGUCGAUAAUAAUCAGGUACUCUAGGGAUAACAGCACGAUUUACUUCUAGAGACCUUAUCGACAAGUAACUUGUGACCUCGAUGUUGAAUUGAAUUACUGAUUUAAGCAGCUUUAAAUUGAGAAGGUCUGUUCGACCUUUAAGUUUUCA
rnacentral:rRNA from 1 species